rnacentral:rRNA from 1 species
UUCCAGACUCCUACGGGAGGCAGCAGUGGGGAAUAUUGCGCAAUGGGCGAAAGCCUGACGCAGCGACGCCGCGUGAGGGAUGAAGGUCUUCGGAUCGUAAACCUCUGUCAGCAGGGAAGAACGGUCACUGUGCUAAUCAGCAGUGAAUUGACGGUACCUGCAAAGGAAGCACCGGCUAACUCCGUGCCAGCAGCCGCGGUAAUACGGAGGGCGCGAGCGUUAAUCGGAAUUACUGGGCGUAAAGCGCGCGUAGGCUGUUGUGUAAGUUGGGGGUGAAAUCCCACGGCUCAACCGUGGAACAGCCCUUGAUACUGCGCGACUUGAAUCCGGGAGAGGGUGGCGGAAUUCCAGGUGUAGGAGUGAAAUCCGUAGAUAUCUGGAGGAACAUCAGUGGCGAAGGCGGCCACCUGGACCGGUAUUGACGCUGAGGCGCGAAAGCGUGGGGAGCAAACAGGAUUAGAUACCCUAGUA